GUGGGGAAUCUUGCGCAAUGGGCGAAAGCCUGACGCAGCCAUGCCGCGUGAAUGAUGAAGGUCUUAGGAUUGUAAAAUUCUUUCACCGGGGAAGAUAAUGACGGUACCCGGAGAAGAAGCCCCGGCUAACUUCGUGCCAGCAGCCGCGGUAAUACGAAGGGGGCUAGCGUUGCACGGAAUUACUGGGCGUAAAGGGCGCGUAGGCGGACAUUUAAGUCAGAGGUGAAAGCCCAGGGCUCAACCUUGGAAUUGCCUUUGAUACUGGAUGUAUUGAGUUCGGGAGAGGUGAGUGGAAUGCCGAGUGUAGAGGUGAAAUUCGUAGAUAUUCGGCGGAACACCAGUGGCGAAGGCGACUCACUGGCCCGAUACUGACGCUGAGGCGCGAAAGCGUGGGGAGCAAACAGGAUUAGAUACCCCUGUAGUCC
rnacentral:rRNA from 1 species